rnacentral:lncRNA from 1 species
AAUAAAAAAACACAGUUAGAGUCCUUUCCAAAACUGCGAGAGGAGACGGAGAGGAUAGUGACCACACACAUUCGGGAACGAGAGAGUCAAGCCAAAGACCAGGUUUUACUCUCACUAGAGAUUCAACUCUCUUACAUCAACACAAACCAUGAAGAUUUUAUCGGGUUCGCAAAGUAAGUCUUUAAAAAUAUAUAACAAUAAAAAAUUUAAAAAACACACGUUUAAGAACAUGGCAUGAAAGAUUUCCCUCCAUUUACACAUCUCCUUUAAGCGCUCAACAGAAAAGCAGUCAAACAAGUAAGAAGCCUUCAGCUGGGAACCAGGCUGCUGCCCGUCCUCCAUCCAGUCAAAUUGUACGAGUCCAGUGUCUGUAAGCCUUACCUACUGUCUACCAGUGUCACAUAGUCUCAUUUGUGUUUGUGGCUAUGUAUGUAUUGUAUGUCAGAAAGCCUGUAUGCCUCUGAACACAGCAAUCAAAAUCUUCCUCUUUCCCGCUUUAUUUUCUACCCUUUAUCUGGUUCUGCUGUCACAUAAAUCAAAGACAUUCUGAGACUCAGAAAUUCAGAUUUUUAUGACUCCUUCUAAAACAUUCCCCGAACGUUGUCGUACAGUGUUUUUUUCAUGCACUACAGUUCCCUAAAGACUCCUUAAUCAGUGUAUAUACACAACAGUCCAAAACAUGACUCAUUUGACCUUUGAAAUCUUAUUCUGAAUCCUGAUUUGCCCAGCGGUGUCUUUUAAAUCCUAAACCACAUUCUAAAACCUUAUUCUACUAAUUACCUGCUUUUUAUCCUCCUAUUCAUCAUUUUAAUGUCUCUGAAUCUCUGUACUGUAAUUCUGUUC